rnacentral:rRNA from 1 species
UACGUAGGGGGCUAGCGUUGUCCGGAAUCAUUGGGCGUAAAGAGCGUGUAGGCGGUUCGGUAGGUCCGUUGUGAAAACUCGAGGCUCAACCUCGAGACGCCGAUGGAAACCAUCGAACUAGAGUCCGGAAGAGGAGAGUGGAAUUCCUGGUGUAGCGGUGAAAUGCGCAGAUAUCAGGAAGAACACCCGUGGCUAAGGCGGCUCUCUAGUACGGUACUGACGCUGAGACGCGAAAGCGUGGGGAGCGAACAGG